AGGAAGUUGAUGGGAAAAGUUCAGAACCCAAGUCCAAGAAAAGGAAGAAAUGAAACAAGACAUUUGAUAGGAUUGAAUGAAAUUAGAGAGUGAUAUGUCUCUAUUGCUAUGUAACUAAGUGAAUGAAAUAAAAGUGUGAUUUGUCUGAUGCUGUGAAUAGUUUUUGGCAUUACUUGUUCAGCAUGUUGUGGACAUAAUAUUUUUUUGUUUGCAAUAAUUGUUUUGAGUUUUUAUAAAGUUAUAAACCUGCAACAUAAAUAAGAGAUAUAUAAGAAUGAAACACAAAGAGACAUCUAGUAUUUGAAUAACAGCACAACUCAAGUAUAGUUUCAAUAGAUUUAUCUCAGU